rnacentral:rRNA from 1 species
CAGUCGCCGCGGUAAUACGUAGGUGGCAAGCGUUGUCCGGAAUUAUUGGGCGUAAAGGGCUCGCAGGCGGUUUCCUAAGUCUGAUGUGAAAGCCCCCGGCUCAACCGGGAAGGGUCAUUGGAAACUGGGAAACUUGAGUGCAGAAGAGGAGAGUGGAAUUCCACGUGUAGCGGUGAAAUGCGUAGAGAUGUGGAGGAACACCAGUGGCGAAGGCGACUCUCUGGUCUGUAACUGACGCUGAGGAGCGAAAGCGUGGGGAGCGAACAGGAUUAGAUACCCCAGUAGUCCCUGUCUCUUAUAA